rnacentral:rRNA from 1 species
GUGGGGAAUCUUGCGCAAUGGGCGAAAGCCUGACGCAGCCAUGCCGCGUGAAUGAUGAAGGUCUUAGGAUUGUAAAAUUCUUUCACCGGGGACGAUAAUGACGGUACCCGGAGAAGAAGCUCCGGCUAACUUCGUGCCAGCAGCCGCGGUAAUACGAAGGGGGCUAGCGUUGCUCGGAAUUACUGGGCGUAAGGGGCGCGUAGGCGGACAGCUUAGUCAGAGGUGAAAGCCCAGGGCUCAACCUUGGAAUUGCCUUUAAUACUGGCUGUCUUGAGUUUGGGAGAGGUGAGUGGAACUCCGAGUGUAGAGGUGAAAUUCGUAGAUAUUCGGAAGAACACCAGUGGCGAAGGCGACUCACUGGCCCAAUACUGACGCUGAGGCGCGAAAGCGUGGGGAGCAAACAGGAUUAGAUACCCCGGUAGUCC